rnacentral:rRNA from 1 species
AGAGGGGGCAAGCGUUAUUCGGAAUUAUUGGGCGUAAAGGGCGCGUAGGCGGCUUUGCAAGUGACGGGUGAAAUCCCCCGGCUUAACCGGGGAACUGCCUGUCAGACUGCAUGGCUUGAGACCAGGAGAGGUGAGUGGAAUUCCCAGUGUAGCGGUGAAAUGCGUGGAUAUUGGGAGGAACACCAGUGGCGAAGGCGGCUCACUGGACUGGUACUGACGCUGAGGCGCGAAAGCGUGGGGAGCAAACAGGAUUAGAUACCCUGGUAGUCCACGCCGUAAACGAUGUGCUUGGUGUAGCGGGUAUCGACCCCUGCUGUGCCGAAGUCAACACAUUAAGCACUCCGCCUGGGGAGUACGGUCGCAAGACUG